rnacentral:sRNA from 1 species
CUGCAAAACUGCAAAUUGGAGUCCUCCCCUUUGGCACACAGAGGGCACAGCCGAGACAGCAUCUGCACAAGCAGCCUGCCCACAGCCCUGCCAGCCUGCCUCAGCUCUGACCUUCAGGAAUUCCUUCAAGUGGGAGAGGGAGCCCCCCAUUCCCUGGCAGCCCAGGGCUUUU